rfam:Oryza barthii chromosome 8, whole genome shotgun sequence.
AAAGACAGAAUUCUUCGGUUUCCGUGUCCAACGUUUUACCAUCCGUCUUAUAUAAAAUUUUUUUAUGAUUAGUAUUUUUAUUAUUGUUAGAUGAUAAAACAUGUAUAAUACUUUAUGCAUGACUUAUCUUUUUAAAUUUGUUUAUAUUUUUUUCAAAUAAGACGAACGGUCAAAUGUUAGACACGGAAACUCAG